GACGAACUGUCCUAACGUUGUUCGGGAUCACUGGGCUUAAAGGGCGCGUAGGCGGUCCGACAAGUCGGGGGUGAAAUCCUGCAGCUUAACUGCAGAAGUGCCUUCGAUACUGUCGGUCUUGAGGGAGAUAGGGGUGUGCGGAACUUCCAGUGGAGCGGUGAAAUGCGUUGAUAUUGGAAGGAACGCCGGAGGCGAAAGCGGCGCACUGGAUCUCUUCUGACGCUGAGGCGCGAAAGCUAGGGGAGCAAACGGG
rnacentral:rRNA from 1 species